rnacentral:rRNA from 1 species
UGCAGUCGAGCGGAACGAUCCUAGCUUGCUAGGAGGCGUCGAGCGGCGGACGGGUGAGUAAUGCAUAGGAAUCUGCCCGGUAGUGGGGGAUAACUUGAGGAAACUCAAGCUAAUACCGCAUACGCCCUACGGGGGAAAGCAGGGGCUCUUCGGACCUUGCGCUAUCGGAUGAGCUUAUGUCGGAUUAGCUGGUUGGUGAGGUAACGGCUCACCAAGGCGACGAUCCGUAGCUGGUCUGAGAGGAUGAUCAGCCACAUCGGGACUGAGACACGGCCCGAACUCCUACGGGAGGCAGCAGUGGGGAAUAUUGGACAAUGGGGGCAACCCUGAUCCAGCCAUGCCGCGUGUGUGAAGAAGGCCCUCGGGUUGUAAAGCACUUUCAGCGAGGAAGAAUGCUUGUCGGUUAAUACCCGGCAAGGGAGACAUCACUCGCAGAAGAAGCACCGGCUAACUCCGUGCCAGCAGCCGCGGUAAUACGGAGGGUGCGAGCGUUAAUCGGAAUUACUGGGCGUAAAGCGUGCGUAGGCGGCUUGAUAAGCCGGUUGUGAAAGCCCCGGGCUCAACCUGGGAACGGCAUCCGGAACUGUUAGGCUAGAGUGCAGGAGAGGAAGGUAGAAUUCCCGGUGUAGCGGUGAAAUGCGUAGAGAUCGGGAGGAAUACCAGUGGCGAAGGCGGCCUUCUGGACUGACACUGACGCUGAGGUACGAAAGCGUGGGUAGCAAACAGGAUUAGAUACCCUGGUAGUCCACGCCGUAAACGAUGUCGACUAGCCCGUUGGGGUCCUCGAGACCUUUGUGGGCGCAGUUAACGCACUAAGUCGACCGCCUGGGGGAGUACGGCCCGCAAGGUUAAAACUCAAAUGAAUUGACGGGGGCCCGCACAAGCGGUGGAGCAUGUGGUUUAAUUCGAUGCAACGCGAAGAACCUUA